GGAAAAUAUGUUAAAGGCAGCCAGAGAGAAAGGGCAGGCCAUCUACAAAGGGAACCCCAUUAGGCUAACAGCAGAUCUCUCAGCUGAAAUCCUACAAGCCAGAAGGGAUUGGGGGACUAUAUUUAACAUUAUUAAAGAAAAUCUUCAACCAAGAAUUUCAUAUACAGCUAAACUAAGCUUUCUAAAUGAAGGAGAAAUGAGAUCAUUUACAGACAAGCAAAUUCUGAGUUUUGCACAUUCAGUGUAAUGUUGGCUGUGGGUUUGUCAUGGCUAGCUCUCAUCAUUUUGGCACUUCUGACUAGAAGGGCAAGAGGGGCCAGUGUUGUUGUUACCUGAAAGGUGAUGGCAUCAGCUGAGAAGGGAAGGAAGCCCAUGAGAGGACACUGAAGAAGGAGUGAGCAGACAAUAAGAAGCCCACAGAAGACAGAGAAGGAACAACUAGAGGGAGAAGCCAAGACACUACCCAAAGCAGUGCUUCACUACAGUGGCAGACAGACCUGAAAAUUUUCAUCUGAAGCAGCAGAGUGAACUGCAGAGGCAGGUCACCAACCAGUGUGGAGGCUAAAAGCGGGCCUCUUUGGGGAUUCCAGGUGGAAGUGUUGGACAUCUGUAGUAUUCCUGGUCUCGAAUCAUCCUGAUAUUCUUCAUUUUGUUAUUCACAUUGGACUAGG
rnacentral:lncRNA from 1 species